GCGCUGGUAGCUCAGUUGGAUAGAGCGUCUGGCUACGGACCAGAAGGUCAUGGGUUCGAAUCCUCUUCAGCGCGCCA
rnacentral:tRNA from 1 species